AACGCGGUGGACGCGGGACGAAUCGGCUCCGUAACGGGGGCAUCAUCGCGGCUCGUUUAAUAGGACACGGCGGACGCGAUGCAGAUCGGGGCGAGAGCAAGUGGCGUCGCAAAUUCAUUAAAUAGACCGCGACGGACGCGGGACGGACCGGCUCCAGAAACGAGGCGUCAUCGCGGUUCGUUUAACAGAACGCAGUAGACGGAUCGGAAUCGGAGCGAGUGGCGUCGCAGCUUGUUUCAUAGAACGCAAGGGAUGCGAGACAGAUCUGCUUCGGUACGAGAGACAUCACAAUUUAUUUUUGUGAAAAGAAGAAAGGAGAGAUUUAACAACUUCAACGUAAAAGGCCUGGGAGAGACAUCGGGCAUCGGUGGAGCAACUUAGCGGUAAGCAUUUUAUUAGUUACUAUUUAAAAUUUGUCUUUUCUUUAGAUUUAUUAGUUGUAUUUCUAGAUUCAAAAAUGAUAGAUAAUUAUUAAAGAAUUUUAAUUUAAAGUUUUAUAAAAUUUACUUUAUAUUUUUAUUAGAUCUUAAAAAUUGCAUAAUUAUAUUGUUAGAUAUUUAAAUAUUUGAAAAGUGAUUAAAAACUUCUGCGUGUGUAAAAAUUAUGAAUUAUGAAUUUUUUAAACGAUACUCGAU